UCAGCCACAAACAAUCGCCCACCAAAAGACCAAAUUCCUUUAAGAGCCAUAGUGACGUCCUAACAGUCGGAUUCAUGAAUGACAAAAUCCUGUUGUAGUGAACGGAGCCAAGAAAUGGCCUCCCUCACCGCUAUUAUCUCAGUCAAUCAGGACUCUGACACACCCAUGUAAAAGCCCCAUAUCCCGUUGGGAAUACAGCCCCGUCGACAUUACACUUAACCCAACAACUCCAUCCUUUACUUGCUUUAGAAACAAACUUGGUGUUAUGUCUCCAGCAAGGCUACGAGAGUUAGCAGAAGUUACAAGGCUCCACAGAAGCCAAACAAGCUGGGUGAAUGUGACAAGGGUUAGCAGAAGCUAAACCAGUUGGGUGAAUGUUAGUGAUUGAUGAGUGGUUGUAAUCAAAUAGUUAGCUAAAGGGUAUAGUUAAGUUGUUAGUGUGUAUUAAAGAUUAGUUAGUGUAGUUAAGAAGUAUGGUGCUGUAUUUGAUUCAAGAAUCAGUUAGGUGUUAUUCUUCAUCUUUGUGUAUAAAUAUGACUCAUCCCC
rnacentral:lncRNA from 1 species